CUCAUUUAUUAUGCAGGUGGAUUAGAUCAAGUGGUUGGAUUAAAGAAUUCCCUAUGCAAGAAGAACUAAUCAUGCUAGGGCACUUGCUAGGAAAACCUUCAUUGCUUUUGGAAAGAGCACACCUGAAAACAAGCUUUUCAUCCGUACAUGUCCCACGUCAAGAGGCCUAGGAUUUGAUCCAGCUUCGAACUUCAUGGUUGCAAUAUUGAAAUGAACUGUGACAGUGAAGCACAAAAAUGUUCAGAGCCACUUCUACAAAACUGGGGAGAUGUGGUUGCCUACCAUCGCCUAUGGCUGUGACAACAGUGGUUGUGCAAUCCGAUGCCCUGUCUCAUCAGAAUAGCCUGACUAUGGAUCCUGCCUCUGAAACAUGAGGUGAUUCCAGAAAAGAUAAAGUAAGGGAAGAUCAAGAGCAGCUGUCUGAACAAGCAGAACAGUUUGGGAGCAUCUGAAGUGGCCUUCUGCUUCUAGGACCACUGAGCUUCUUUGAGGUUUUGGAAGCCAAACAGAACUGAAUUUUGGAACUCCCCUUAUCUUUACAAUAAGCUAAAUCAGAACCCUGGAUCUUAAUUAACGUUUCUUCAUUUAGAAUUAUUUUUGUGAACACAAUAGAGCUGAUUAUUACCGAGAGCCUCUUCAAAGAAGUUAAAUUAAUCUGAUAAAUCAAUGUGGCCAAUGCAGAUAAGUCUUGUGGAGCAUUUUCAAGCAGUACCAGGAUCUGUCAAAAAGAGUAAUGAAUAUCAGAUUUCCAAAUGUACACAUUUUGGAGGAAGGAAUAAGAUAAAUGACACGCAUUAACUUCAAUAACUUGCGUGCGGUAACGUGAAGAUGCAAAUGGGAAAAUUAAACUGGGUCAGCAGAUGCAAACUUGAAGACAAUAAUAAAGGAUGCUGAGAUUGUUCUGAAUGAAGAUGGCAAAGAGCGGGAAAUGAUGUAUGGGAGUAACGGCAUGACAUUUGUGUUCCUUCAGAUGAAUCCAACUCAAUAAUAAUAGUAAUCCUGCUGUGAACUAAAUUUCACUCCCUGUCACAUCCAAGUAAGGAGCAGCACACCGAAGAUAUCUUGGUGGUAAACUCAUUGUAAAACUGAAGACGUACAAAGGGCUUCAGGCUGUGGCUACUGCAGAAGAUGGCAAAAUGAGCCAGGGGCCAGCCCUGUGGUUCCAGCAAACAGUGGGGAGGACUGAGGAAACGUUCUUGCUGCUCUGGGAGAAAAUCCUUGUGUAAGAACAUCUUAUCGCAGUGCCAUGCGUCACAUGAUCAGUGUCUUGGGAUACCACGAUGCACAAUUGGAAACAUCAGAUAGAGUAGAUAUUUUCAUCAGAAGUGCAAGUGAUCAAUUUCUACUGAUAAAAAAGGCAUUCAUUUCUUCAGAUAGAGAAGCAAAUAGAAGAGUGUUACAUAUAGAGAAGCAUAAAAAGUGAAACGUCUAGCCUGAAAUCAAGAGGAAGAAAGAGGAUAUACCUGCAGUAAAGAUAAAAGGAAAUGGCACAGUAUUGGAGGAGAGUUAGCAUUAUACUCCCAACAGGCUCUGACUUGGAGGUCUCGUCUCCUGGUGUCAAAGGCCAGGCUUGGCCGGCCUUUUCAAUAUUCUCAUAAGCCUUUCUGACAUUAAAGGAUGGGAGAUAGGCUGGAAAGCACUUAACAAAUUAAUAUGGGAUGCAUAUGCCCACACCCAGUGCUAGUCCUUUGGCUUGCUUCUGGGUUACUGCUCUGUUGUACCACACUGAUGUUGCUGCCCGUGGCUGACUCUUCUAAGGGCUGCAGGAGGAGUGGUUAUGUCAUUUAUGUAUGUACAUGUAGAUUCAAAGGUUUGCUUAAUUUCUAUUUUUAAUUGUAGUUUUCAUGUUCUCUUCGAGUUUCUAGCAGUUUAAGCAUAGAGUAUCAGGAAUCUCAUGAGUUUUAUUCUCAAGACUUCUGAUCUAAAGCAUUUGCACAUCAGAUUUACAU